rnacentral:rRNA from 1 species
GCAACGCGAAGAACCUUACCAACCCUUGACAUGGCAGUGACCGUUCCAGAGAUGGUCCUUUCUCGUAAGAGACACUGCACACAGGUGCUGCAUGGCUGUCGUCAGCUCGUGUCGUGAGAUGUUCGGUUAAGUCCGGCAACGAGCGCAACCCACGUCUUUAGUUGCCAGCAUUCAGUUGGGCACUCUAAAGAAACUGCCGGUGAUAAGCCGGAGGAAGGUGUGGAUGACGUCAAGUCCUCAUGGCCCUUACGGGUUGGGCUACACACGUGCUACAAUGGUGGUGACAAUGGGUUAAUCCCAAAAAGCCAUCUCAGUUCGGAUUGGGGUCUGCAACUCGACCCCAUGAAGUCGGAAUCGCUAGUAAUCGCGUAACAGCAUGACGCGGUGAAUACGUUCCCGGGUCUUGUACACACCGA